rnacentral:tRNA from 1 species
GGCGGUGUAGCUCAGAGGUCAGAGCGAACGGCUCAUACCCGUUAUGUCAUUGGUUCAAUUCCAAUCACCGCCACCA